ACAAAGAUGCGCUUAUUGAGAUUCUUGAGGAGCAUGCAGUGAAGAGGCAUAGAGAGCCAGAGGAUUCAUUUUCCUCUAGUAUGCCUCAGCCUUUCAGUGCUUGGAAGAAUAUUGUGGAUCAGCUUAUCCUCGAGAAGGCUCAGAUGAAGACGUCCUUUGAGUCUGAGAUUCGACGCGUCCGAAGGAAGUAUGCUCCCAUAGCCAUAUCAUUUGAUGUAGUUGAUAAGGACCCCUAGGAUGACAUUUUCCUUUUUUUCUUGUAUUUGUAUU
rnacentral:lncRNA from 1 species